AGCCCAGUUCUGACCAACCAGAACUAGUUCUGGCGUCGUGGAGGUACGUCGUCUUCGGUUGUAGUUUGUAGGUCGCUUGUCAUAUUCCUAUGAAUUGAGAUUCUAAUUGCUCUUGAAGGCAUGUGAUAGGCACCUCAGUUGCUCUGAGCGAGAGAGAGAGAGAACGAACCUUGCCAUGUGCUCGGUGGUGGUUCACCUUGUCCACGCUAAUUGCGAAAAGAGACUUGAUGACGACAAUUAGCUUCUUGUCCUGUUUCUUCAUAUUCUUAUUGCAUGAUGGAUGCUGCAGUGAGUCGGUUCUUCCUGUUCAAUACUGUUAUGCACUUCUAUGCCCUUGAGCACAGUUUGCAACAAAAGUAAGGUCUAGCGCUGAAAAUAGCCACUCAGAAACUAGACAAGCGAUGCAUAAAAUGAUCAAUAUUGUUAUGCAUAAAAAGGUCAGAGCAGCUGCCAGCUUUCUAUUCGGCACAUUAAUUAAUUUCUUCGUAACCUGAACGCGGGAAGCUAAGAUCACCAGCAAAAAAAAGUUCCGAGACUGUAGCUGAUAUCAUGAUGAAUUUGUGAAAUGUCAUGUAAGCGGCUAAUGUAGAAGAAUGACACCGAGGUAAUCCAAUCAUAAGCGUCGUGCCUAAUUUACUGUGAAGCUAUGCUGACAGAAGACCUAAACCUGAUGGUGAUAUAUCAACAAUUUCUACGUUUCACUCAGCAAGCAGCAUUCACCUUCUUCAAGUGAGUGAAAGAGGUAUACGCCUUCAAUGUACCCUCAGAUAUCACAAUCAACUAUUAAUUCCUUCACAUGACUUAUCGUUUCCAGAUUCCAAAUUUCUAUACAUAUGCGGCAACUUGGUGCCAUGCAUGCUUGACUUAUUCCUCGUCAAUUUGUGAUCAAUUCCCUGUCAGCCAGCCUGAAAUGCCCUCGACUUCAGUAGGCCAUUCACUGUAUCUGAUGUCUCACCUGCGUUUGUUCUUUGUUGAAGGUCAAACCACUGAAAGCAUCUAGAAAGUGCGCACUGUAACUCACAAGAGUCGCUCUUCUACAUCGAAGUGGAAGAGCUUGCAUUGUCUUCCUGCACCUGGGAAGAAGGUUAUGAUUGAUCCUUAGAACUGUGAGCUUCCUGGGCUUUUCAGUUCACGACGUUGAGCUUCGAUGGCCAUCCAGUCCUACACAUGGCUCCUGGCCAACUGGAUCAAAUAAAUGCCAUGGGAACCAAAACCCUAAAUUCGGUUUCACUUGAAAAAGAAGUCCUGUUAAUUACCUGCCGUCGGUUCCAGUAGCUCAAAGGGACGUCAGCUGUUGCAGAAUUCACAGCUCCGGCUCACUAUAGAUCAAAAAGUUGCCGUCGUCUUGUAGCUACGCCUAAUAUUUUGCGGGUUUACUGUAGAUGUGGGUGAAGGCCUGGAAUUCGACAAUGUGUGCCAUGUAGACGAUCACAAGAUCGCCAUCAUCCUACACAAUUGCGUAGCAGUUGGCUCCUUGGCCGAACGUGUUGGUCACCCAUGACGGCAGCCGGCUCUUCGCAAAAUCGUACAACACAAGGUUGCAGUCGUUCUGCAUAGCAAGCAGAUACCUGUCAUUCUUGCUCCGAAGGGCGAAUCCUACCGGAAACUGACCUAGUGCCACUACUAUGCUCUGUGCCUCUUGAACCCCAUCCGCAGCGCAUGGAAUGGAGGUUAGUGUCAUCACAAAGUUCAAGAGGUUGAGUAAGCGGCUUUUGAAAAUGUACAUCUCCAUUCCUUAUAAAACAGGUAGUUAUUCUACUUAUGUGCUCGAUUCAUGUUUUAGGUGUGCGUUAUUUUACAAGCCACUCUUAAUUCAUCUUCUUCAUCAUCACCAGGUAUUGCGCAUGAAAAAGGCAGCUGCGACACGCAUUUGUACCCUGUUCGCUCCACCAGUCAUCUGCUGCUAAGUUACAGGAUUGAGUAUCGUAGGCAAUCCAGAAACCGUGUUAAAAUUCAAACCACUUUCCUUUGUUGCUAACAAUCUUUCGUCGCAUAUUGUUGACUAAAGGUAGUGCUGGCGAGUUGGUUUGCACGUCACUUAUGUGUUACGUAUGUAUGGCGUGCUAUUCGUAGAACGCCCGAUCAGGACUGCAAUUGAAGCGAUGAGUGAAAAAUGUACCUUGUUUUAGAAUUCAAAUAUGGCUUCCUAGUUACGACGGU
rnacentral:lncRNA from 1 species